GAUUAAAUGUCAGCUGAAGGUUGAAUCGGGCAAAAACUGAAAGAAGACAACAGUUUGAAGGCUUCCCUUUCCAUUUCCAAACAUAAUACCAAAUGACUUAAAAUGAAUGAAGAUGCUUUAGAGCUCUGGGUGUCACGAUAAAACAUAAACUUACACAUUCACUUUGACCCACAUAUUGUCCUUUCUAAGAUGUUUCAAAAUGGGAAAAUCCUCUGUGUCAUUUUAUUUGAAAAAAAAAAUCAGGAAGCACCAUUGCAUGCAUGUGAGCCGAGCAGAUGUGCAUACAAACAUGCGUGUGUGUACAUGAAGCACAACCAGCAUUUGGAAUAUCCUCCCUCAGGCAAAGCAAGGACCUAGAGGCUGACUCCUGCGUAUUGUAUCACCCUGGCUACCUGGCCAACUGGCUUCAAAUUGGGCUUGACCACUGGGAGGUCCUGAGAGAAGACUGGAGGACAACAAGAGGCAGAGACUGUGGUAUUUCUUUCUUCCUACUGUGGGCCGGAUUGCUGGCACUGGCUGUGUCCUUCCAGGAACACAGCUCCCAAAGAGAGGCCCAUCUGCAUGGCCCCAGCUCUCACUGUUCUUUGCUAACACAACUUCCAUUCGUGCCUCUUUAGGCUUGGAAGUGGCAAAGCCUGUCCACUCUUGCUAGUCUCUGAGUGCCUCAUAUCCCUGAUUUUUCCCUUUUGCUCUAUCCACAACUCAGGAAGUAAUUUCUUCAUUAGAGUCCCCUGUACCACAUGGACUGGAUUCAACUUUCUGCUAUUUUCAGUAUUAAAUUAGUUAAUAUUUGUAGAAUGCUUACAAUAGUGCCUGACACAUAAUAAGCAUGCUUUAUGUUUGUUAAAUCAAUAAAAAUAAACACAUAUAAUAUAACACUGAGUCAUGUGUUCAGAGGAAAGGGGUGCUAUGUUUGUCCAGGCGGAAUCAAGAGCUCACCCCUGGUGUAAGAGUUUGUGGAGUCAAGGGGUUAAUACGCAGGAGAAAGAAAACCCCCAAGGUGACCAAAACAAUAGCAGCAACAACAAAACAGAGUUGUAUGCCAUACCCUAGUUCCUAAGGUUGCUAUUUUGGCCUCAAGGAUUCUUUUUUUUUAAUAUUGGUUAAACAUGCAUUUCAUUUUUCCAAAGUAGAAUUUGAAACUCUACUAACUCUACUAACUUUAGUUGCUCUUCCUAACUAAAGAGAGCAAAGACUAAGCAAGUAUGAGUAAAACAAAAGGAAACUUUAUUAACACAUCCUGGCUACCUUUAGGCCAGUAGAGAGGAAGAGGAGGAGGAUGUACAUGCCUAGAAAAGAAUAGGAAGUCACAGCCCUUGCCACUGCAGCCUGGGUGUGUGACACUGCAGUAGGCUAUGUCAAGGAAGGCUGUAGUCCCCAAGGAACUAGAUCUGCCUUGUCUUAUGGGAGAAAUGCAGAGCAGGAAUUCAGUAGUCUGGCAGGUCAAGCAGCAAAGGCCCAGCAAAGAAUGUGAGUCCUGUCAUCCAAGACCAUCUUAGGGCCCUUUUUUUUUUUUUUUUUCUUUGAGACGGAGUCUUGCUCUGUCACCCAGGCUGGAAGUGCAGUGGAGCGAUCUCGGCUCACUGCAACCUCUGCCUCCUGGGUUCAAGCUAUUCUGCCUCAGCCUCCUGAGUAGCUGGGACUACAGGCACCUGCCACCAUGCCUGGCUAAUUUUUGUAUUUUUAGUAGAGAUGGGGGUUUCACCAUAUCGGCCAGGCUGGUCUCGAACUCCUGACCUUGUGAUCCGCCCGCCUCAGCCUCCCAAAGUGCUGUGAUUACAGGCGUGAGCCACCACGCCUGGCCUGGGCCCUUCUUUUAACUGAAUGUAUUUUAUUGAAUCUGACCAGCCUGACAAUGGCUCGUCUGUGCCUGCGCAAGAAACUCACCAAUACUGUCAAAUGAUAUUGCUCCAAUCUAGACUGUACACAUGAAUUCAACUACUACACUAUUAUCAGGUUUUGUUGCAAAUUUGUCCCCAAAAAGAUUGUCCUAGGAACCACUGUUAUAUACUCUGCAAUGCAAAUCUCCAUUUGCCUUUCAAGAAGCUCCGUUCAGCAGGAACUGGCCUCAUCUCGAAAUUUAUUACCCUUUUGCCACUUUUAUGUCUGCCCAAGUCUGAAUUUUUUGUCUAGAACGCUGCCUAGGGAGGCUCUAACAGAACAGUUUGUGGUUGCAACUCAAUGCCAUAAAGAAGAGUUGAGGUGCUGGAGAAUCCAUUUUAAGUUCAGCAGAAGAAUGCAGAGUAGGCAAUUUGUGUUCUGUCCUUUCACAAGUGUCCUUACCCAGCUUAGAGGCAGACAGACGUCUUUAAGUUUCCAAUUUCUGGUUGAUAACUGUUGGCUUCCAGAGAUGCAUGGAAGCCCACAUACACACAUGAAUAAGCAUGUAUGUGUGCAUGGGUACACAGAAACACACAUACACACACUAGGCACAAUUCCAUAUAUCUCCCAAGGCAAGCAUUACUUCUAUUCUAAAUCUAUAAGAAAGAAAAACAAUAUUUUCCUAAGUGCUCCAUCAUUUGAAAGGCAGCCUCUCAGAGUGGAGUUCACACUGAGCCCUGUCUGGUUCGAUGCAAAUAAGAAUAAUGCACAUUGCUGAGACAUAGAUCACUUUUUUUGUUUUGUUUUUUUGUAGAGAUGAGGUCUCUCUCUGUCACCCAGGCUGGAGUGCGGUGGAAUGAACACAGCUAAUUGCAGCCUCAAAAUCCUGAGCUCAAGUCAUUCUUUGACCUCAGCCUCCUAAGUAGCUGGGACCACAAGCAUGUGUCACCACACCUGGCUUCUUUUGUUUGUUUGUUUUGUACAGAUGGGGGUCUGUGGCUCAGGUUGAUCUCAAACUCUUGGCUUCCUCCUGCCUUGGCCUCUCAAAGUGCUGGAAUUAUAGGCAUGAGCCACCAUUCCUGGCUGAGGGGGGGAUAUUUUAAAUUACUAUGUUUCAUUCUUAAAUAAAAUAUGUUCAUGAUAAUUAAAACAAGAAACAAGAUUUAUAAUGAACAGUGACAGUAUCCAAGCCCAUCCCAGGUCUAUUUUCCUAUUCCAGAGAUACAGACAUUAAUGGUAGUUUAGUUUUAUAUUUUUAGCAAUAUGCAUAUAAAUAUGCUUUUAUAUUUUUAUGCAAUAAAAUGAAUUUCCUUUUUGUCUUUAUAGAUCAAUGAUUUUGUGCUUUUUCAUUGUGGUAAAAUGUACAUAUAAAACUUACUAUUUUAACCAUUUUUAAGUGUACAGUUCUGGAAUAAAGCACAUUUACAGUGUUGUGCAGCCAAUAAUCAUGAUCCAUUUCCAAAAUUUUUUCAUCUUGAUAACCUGAAACUUUAUAUCUAUUAAUUGACAACUCUUCAUCACAUCUUUGCCUCAGUCCCGGAAACAACCAUUCUACUUUGGCCUCUAUAAAUUUGACUUCUCUACAUAUCUUAGAUAAGUGGAAUCAUACAAUAUUUUUCUUUAUGUGACUGGCUCAUUUCAAGUUUCACCCACGUUGUGGCAUGUGUCCAAACUUCCUUAAUAUUGAAAGCUGCAUAAUAUUCUAUUGUGUUAAUUUAUCCAUUUGCCAGUGGACACUUGGGUUGCUUUCACCUUUUGACUAUUGUGAAUAAUGGUGCUAUGAAUAUGAGUGUACAAAUAUCUCUUUAAGUAUUUGCUUUUAAUCUUUUGGGUAGAUAUCCAAAAGUGGAAUUAAUGAAUAGUAUGAUAAUUAUAUUUUUAAUUUUUCGAGGAAUCACAAUACUGUUCUUCAUAGUGGAUAUAUCAUUUUACAUUCCCACCAACAGCACAAAAGAAUUUCAGUUUCUCCACAUCCUAGCCAUGUGCACUUGAGAAGAAUGUGUAUUCUGCUAUUUUUGCCUGGAGUGUUUUUUAAAUGCUUGUUAUGUCCAUUUGGUCUACAGUGCUGUUCAAGUUCUCUAUUUCCUUACUGAUCUCCCCUCUGGUUUUUGUAUUCAUUAUUGAAAAUGGAGUAUUAAAGUCUCUUACUAUUAUUGUAGAUACAUAUAUUUCUCCAUUCAGUUCUAUAAAUGUUUGCUUCACAUAUUUAGGAGCUCUGCUGUUUGGUGCAUAUAUGUUUACAAUUGCUGUAUUUUCUUCAUGAAUUGAUCCUUUUAUCAUUAUAUAAUGUCCUUCUUUGUGUCAUGUAACAGUUUUAACAUGAAGUCUGUUUUUUUUCCUGUUACAUGCCACACAAGAGACAGGCAAUGGUAAAUAAAAAUGCUAUAAAAUUUUCCUACCA